rnacentral:rRNA from 1 species
GAGUGGCGAACUGGUGAGUAACACGUGGGAAACCUGCCCAGAAGCGGGGGAUAACACCUGGAAACAGAUGCUAAUACCGCAUAACAACUUGGACCGCAUGGUCCGAGCUUGAAAGAUGGCUUCNGCUAUCACUUUUGGAUGGUCCCGCGGCGUAUUAGCUAGAUGGUGGGGUAACGGCUCACCAUGGCAAUGAUACGUAGCCGACCUGAGAGGGUAAUCGGCCACAUUGGGACUGAGACACGGCCCAAACUCCUACGGGAGGCAGCAGUAGGGAAUCUUCCACAAUGGACGAAAGUCUGAUGGAGCAACGCCGCGUGAGUGAAGAAGGGUUUCGGCUCGUAAAACUCUGUUGUUAAAGAAGAACAUAUCUGAGAGUAACUGUUCAGGUAUUGACGGUAUUUAACCAGAAAGCCACGGCUAACUACGUGCCAGCAGCCGCGGUAAUACGUAGGUGGCAAGCGUUGUCCGGAUUUAUUGGGCGUAAAGCGAGCGCAGGCGGUUUUUUAAGUCUGAUGUGAAAGCCUUCGGCUCAACCGAAGAAGUGCAUCGGAAACUGGGAAACUUGAGUGCAGAAGAGGACAGUGGAACUCCAUGUGUAGCGGUGAAAUGCGUAGAUAUAUGGAAGAACACCAGUGGCGAAGGCGGCUGUCUGGUCUGUAACUGACGCUGAGGCUCGAAAGUAUGGGUAGCAAACAGGAUUAGAUACCCUGGUAGUCCAUACCGUAAACGAUGAAUGCUAAGUGUUGGAGGGUUUCCGCCCUUCAGUGCUGCAGCUAACGCAUUAAGCAUUCCGCCUGGGGAGUACGGCCGCAAGGCUGAAACUCAAAGGAAUUGACGGGGGCCCGCACAAGCGGUGGAGCAUGUGGUUUAAUUCGAAGCUACGCGAAGAACCUUACCAGGUCUUGACAUACUAUGCAAAUCUAAGAGAUUAGACGUUCCCUUCGGGGACAUGGAUACAGGUGGUGCAUGGUUGUCGUCAGCUCGUGUCGUGAGAUGUUGGGUUAAGUCCCGCAACGAGCGCAACCCUUAUUAUCAGUUGCCAGCAUUAAGUUGGGCACUCUGGUGAGACUGCCGGUGACAAACCGGAGGAAGGUGGGGAUGACGUCAAAUCAUCAUGCCCCUUAUGACCUGGGCUACACACGUGCUACAAUGGAUGGUACAACGAGUUGCGAACUCGCGAGAGUAAGCUAAUCUCUUAAAGCCAUUCUCAGUUCGGAUUGUAGGCUGCAACUCGCCUACAUGAAGUCGGAAUCGCUAGUAAUCGCGGAUCAGCAUGCCGCGGUGAAUACGUUCCCGGGCCUUGUACACACCGCCCGUCACACCAUGAGAGUUUGUAACACCCAAAGUCGG